GCUGGCCCUCAGCCGCGGUGCUCUACUGUCCAUCGGUUCCACUUUUGUUUUCUCGAAGGCUUUUUGAGUCCAGGGGGAUUCCAGAAGCCUGAGGGAGCAGGAAAACGGGGGCCUGUCUACAGGACUUGUAGAGUGUCCUUGGUGCAUGGUGACUGGCUUCCCCGAGUGCAAUCCAUCCAAGGACCAAGGCAGAAGUUGCAAUACCUUUUACCACUUAGCCCCAGGAGUCGCACAUCACCACCUCCACUGUAUUCUGUUGGUCGUACAGACAUUGCUGAUCUCCAUGUGACGUUUUUGUAACAAGCCUGUACCUUAAAACGAGACUAGGUGAGGGCUGCAGUCGGAGGUGGUGGGCAGCCAGAAAGGCAUUUGCAAUUGAUUCGAAGGUGAAUACUUGCAGCCAGCCCAUUUCCAGGAUUCCACGUUAGGACUACACCCCACCUGUGACUUCCCUGGAAAAACCCUCUGAACACAGAAACUCAGCUCCACCCUUCUUUGACUUCAGAUCCAUAGGAGAGAUAUAGAGUGGUUUUCAUUA